GUUUUAGUAUUGAAGUCGUGUUCAAUUGAUUAGAGAAACGUUAUGUUUUAUACUGGCUGUGUUUUAUUAUGUUUGUUAGUACAUACUCUUAUUGACACUGUGGGCAUACCCAUUGCUAGAUCACGAUUAGUCCAGACUGGACUUAGAGCCAAAUUUCUAAGACAAGGGGUUGAAACUACAGAAGACCCGGAAGACCCGGCACAGAAAAACUGUAUAUGUUCUCAAAUAUACGAUCCAGUAUGCGCGUCGAACAAUCAAUCUUACAACAAUUUGUGCCUAAUGUCAGAAUAAACCUGG